ensembl:lncRNA
GAAGGUAACGGCGCUCCAUGCAGUCAUGCCGGCCACAUGACCUUGGAGGUGUCUACGGACAACGCCGGCUCUUCGGCUUAGAAAUGGAGAUGAGCACAACCCCCAUAGUCAGACAUGACUAGACUUAACAUCAGGGGAAAACCUUUACCUUUACCUAUAUAGUCAAUGUAGACCAAGCAUAGGCAAACUUGGGCCUCCAGUCGUUUGGACUUCAACGCUCACAAUUCCUAACAGCUGGUAUACUGUUAGGAAUUGUGGGAGUUGAAGUCCAAAACACCUGGAGGGCCCUGAUUUGCCCACGCUUGAUGUAGACCCAUAUGAUAGUUUGAACUGAAUUGUAUGGGUCUACACCAGGCAUGGCCAAACUUUGGCUCGCCAGGUGUUUUGUAUUUCAAUUCCCACAAUACCUAACAGCAUACUAGCUGUUAGGAAUUGUGAGAGUUGAAGUCCAAAACACCUGGCGAGCCAAAAUUUGCGCAUGCCUGGUCUACAAACUGUAUUAUAGGGCAGUGUGGACCCAGCCUAGGACUCUGGAGACCGGAGUUCGACCUUGGGCGAGUCACACUCAUUCAGCCUCAGAAAACCCCGCCAUCAUUUACAAACACAACAACAACAACAAGGUUAAGAGGAGUGCAAGGAGGAGAUCAAGAAACACAGCAGGUGGUGCCUCUCCUAUCGGGACAUGGAGACUCAAACAGCGCCAGGAAUAACAAGCUCCUGCUAUUGACGCUCUCCCUCCCCUUUUCGCCAAGACCCGGACGUGACGUACAAACCCGCGGUCCAAUGCAAGGUGCGCCGGAAGUGAGCCUUUUGGAGACGAGCGUGUGGUGAAGGGCCGGCAAGAUGGUGAGUGUCUUCCCGGACCCGGGUUUUUAACCAAGGCCUAGUCGGCCUAGGUUAAUUUUUUCGCUUCUUCAGCAUGUUAUGAGCAUACUAGCAAGUGUGAAUGGUGCAAUUGGCCACCUUGAUUAGCAUCGAAUGCCCUUGCAGCUUCAAAGUCUGGCUGCUUCCUGCCUGGAGUACAUUAGGGUAGCUAAUUUUAUAUGUCGUACGCCGCUUUGAAUUCCACCCACGCAGACAAGCGGGAUAUUAAUAAUAAUAAUAAUACAGUAGAGUCUCACUUAUCCAAACCUCGCGUAUCCAAGCUUCUGGAUUAUCCAAGCCAUUUUUGUAGUCAAUGUUUUCAAUAUAUCAUGAUACUUCGGUGCUAAAUUUGUAAAUACAGUCAUUACAACAUAAGAUUACUGCAUAUUGAACUAUUUUUUCUGUCAAAUUUGUUGUAUAACAUGAUGUUUUGGCACUUAAUUUGUAAAAUCAUAACCUAAUUUGAUGUUUAAUAGGCUUUUCCUUAAUUCCUCCUUAUUAUCUAAGAUAUUCGCUUAUCCAAGCUUCUGCUGGCUCGUUUAGCUUGGCUAAGUGAGACUCUACUGUAAUAAUAAUAAUAACUUCAAUAAAGGAUUUCCUCAAGCAGGAAGCAGCCAGACUUUGAAGCUGCAAGGCCAUUCAAUGCUGAUCAAGGUGGCCAAUUGCAACGUUCACAUUUGCCUCAAGGUGGAGCCCCUGGUGGCGCAAUGGGUUAAACCCUUGUGCCGGCAGGACUGCUGACAGAAAGGUUGCCAGUUCGAAUUCGGGGAGAGCAGGUGAGCCCCCUCUGUCAGCUCCAGCUCCCCAUUUAUUUAUUUACAGUAUUUAUAUUCCAUUCUUCUCACCCCGAAGGGGAAUCAGGGCAAAUCACAAUGUACAUAUACAUAGUAAACAUUCAAUGCCGUUAGACAUACGGCACACACAGAUAGAGACACAGAGGCUAUUUAACAUUUUCCA